GAGUUUGAUCCUGGCUCAGGACGAACGCUGGCGGCGUGCUUAACACAUGCAAGUCGAACGGAAAGGCCCCGCUCGCGGGGUACUCGAGUGGCGAACGGGUGAGUAACACGUGGGUGAUCUGCCCUGCACUUCGGGAUAAGCCUGGGAAACUGGGUCUAAUACCGGAUAUGACCUCCCUUUAGUGUGGGGGGUGGACAGAUUUAUCGGUGCAGGAUGAGCCCGCGGCCUAUCAGCUUGUUGGUGGGGUAAUGGCCUACCAAGGCGUCGACGGGUAGCCGGCCUGAGAGGGUGGACGGCCACAUUGGGACUGAGAUACGGCCCAGACUCCUACGGGAGGCAGCAGUGGGGAAUAUUGCACAAUGGGCGGAAGCCUGAUGCAGCGACGCCGCGUGGGGGAUGACGGCCUUCGGGUUGUAAACCUCUUUCGACAGGGACGAAGUGAAAAUGACGGUACCUGUAUAAGAAGCACCGGCUAACUACGUGCCAGCAGCCGCGGUAAUACGUAGGGUGCGAGCGUUGUCCGGAAUUACUGGGCGUAAAGAGCUCGUAGGUGGUUUGUCACGUCGUCUGUGAAAUUCCGGGGCUUAACCUCGGGCGUGCAGGCGAUACGGGCAAUACUUGAGUGCUGUAGGGGAGACUGGAAUUCCUGGUGUAGCGGUGAAAUGCGCAGAUAUCAGGAGGAACACCAAUGGCGAAGGCAGGUCUCUGGGCAGUUACUGACGCUGAGGAGCGAAAGCAUGGGUAGCGAACAGGAUUAGAUACCCUGGUAGUCCAUGCCGUAAACGGUGGGCGCUAGGUGUAGGGGACUUCCACGUUCUCUGUGCCGUAGCUAACGCAUUAAGCGCCCCGCCUGGGGAGUACGGCCGCAAGGCUAAAACUCAAAGGAAUUGACGGGGGCCCGCACAAGCGGCGGAGCAUGUGGAUUAAUUCGAUGCAACGCGAAGAACCUUACCUGGGCUUGACAUACACCGGACCGGCGUAGAGAUACGUCUUCCCUUGUGGCCGGUGUACAGGUGGUGCAUGGUUGUCGUCAGACUCGUGUCGUGAGAUGUUGGGUUAAGUCCCGCAACGAGCGCAACCCUUGUCUUAUGUUGCCAGCACGUGAUGGUGGGGACUCAUGAGAGACUGCCGGGGUCAACUCGGAGGAAGGUGGGGAUGACGUCAAAUCAUCAUGCCCCUUAUGUCCAGGGCUUCACACAUGCUACAAUGGUCGGUACAGCAGGUCGCGAACUCGUGAGAGUAAGCCAAUCCUUCAAAGCCGGCCUCAGUUCGGAUUGGGGUCUGCAACUCGACCCCAUGAAGUCGGAGUCGCUAGUAAUCGCAGAUCAGCAACGCUGCAAGAUACGUUGCCCGGGCCUGUACACACCGCCCGUCA
rnacentral:rRNA from 1 species